rnacentral:rRNA from 1 species
UACGUAGGGGGCAAGCGUUGUCCGGAUUUAUUGGGCGUAAAGAGCGUGUAGGCGGUUUGGUAGGUCCGCUGUGAAAACUCGAGGCUCAACCUCGAGACGCCGGUGGAAACCAUCAGACUAGAGUCCGGAAGAGGAGAGUGGAAUUCCUGGUGUAGCGGUGAAAUGCGCAGAUAUCAGGAAGAACACCCGUGGCUAAGGCGGCUCUCUAGUACGGUACUGACGCUGAGGAGCGAAAAGCGUGGGGAGCGAACAGG